GGCCUGGGUGUCCAAGCAUUAUUAUAAGGUAUCUUACUUUCGAAUACAUAGGGGUAAGAAGCGAACGCAGGGAACUGAAACAUCUAAGUACCUGCAGGAAAGGACAUCAACCGAGACUCCGUAAGUAGUGGCGAGCGAACGCGGACCAGGCCAGUGGCAAUGAUGAAUAAAGCGGAACGAUCUGGAAAGGUCGGCCAUAAAGGGUGAUAGCCCCUUACGCGUAGAACAGUCAUUGUCCUUGAGUAGGGCGGGGCACGUGAAAUCCUGUCUGAACAUGGGGAGACCACUCUCCAAGCCUAAGUACUCGUGCAUGACCGAUAGCGAACAAGUACCGUGAGGGAAAGGUGAAAAGCACCCCGACCAGGGGAGUGAAAUAGAACCUGAAACCGGAUGCCUACAAACAGUCGGAGCCCGAGCCGUUUACUAGGUUGGGUGACUGCGUACCUUUUGUAUAAUGGGUCAACGACUUAGUGUAACUAGCAAGCUUAAGCCGGUAGGUGUAGGCGCAGCGAAAGCGAGUCUGAAUAGGGCGAUUUAGUUAGUUGCAUUAGACCCGAAACCGAGUGAUCUAGCCAUGAGCAGGCUGAAGGUUGGGUAACACCAACUGGAGGGCCGAACCCGUAUCUGUUGCAAUAGAUUGGGAUGACUUGUGGCUAGGGGUGAAAGGCCAAUCAAACUCGGAAAUAGCUGGUUUUCCGCGAAAUCUAUUUAGGUAGAGCGUCGACCGAAUACCCUCGGGGGUAGAGCACUGGAUGGGCUAUGGGGACUCACCGUCUUACUGAUCCUAACCAAACUCCGAAUACCGAGGAGUACUAGUCGGCAGACACACGGCGGGUGCUAACGUCCGUCGUGAAAAGGGCAACAACCCUGACCUCCAGCUAAGGUCCCCAAGUCAUGGCUAAGUGGGAAAGGAUGUGAGGAUCCCAAAACAACCAGGAUGUUGGCUUAGAAGCAGCCAUCAUUUAAAGAAAGCGUAACAGCUCACUGGUCUAAAUAAGGGUCUUUGCGCCGAAAAUGUAACGGGGCUAAAGCCAUGCACCGAAGGUGAGGAUUGUGGCAACCUUCGGGUUGCUUCAGUGGUAGCGGAGCGUUCCGUAAGUCUGUGAAGGCGGACCCGUGAGGGCUGCUGGAGAUAUCGGAAGUGCGAAUGUUGACAUGAGUAACGAUAAAGGGAGUGAGAGACUCCCUCGCCGAAAGACCAAGGGUUCCUGCUUAAAGUUAAUCUGAGCAGGGUUAGCCGGCCCCUAAGACGAGGCGGACACGCGUAGUCGAUGGGAACCACGUUAAUAUUCGUGGGCCUGGUGGUAGUGACGGAUCUCGUGUGUUGUACAUUCUUACUGGAUUGAAUGUGCGGCGAAGAGGUUCCAGGAAAUAGCUCCACCGUAUAGACCGUACCCGAAACCGACACAGGUGGUCAGGUAGAGUAUACCAAGGCGCUUGAGAGAACUAUGUUGAAGGAACUCGGCAAAUUGCACGCGUAACUUCGGAAGAAGCGUGACCCUUUUGUACGCAAGUAUGAUGGGGUGGCACAGACCAGGGGGUAGCGACUGUUUAUCAAAAACACAGGGYUCUGCGAAGUAGCAAUACGACGUAUAGGGUCUGACGCCUGCCCGGUGCUGGAAGGUUAAAGGGAGGGGUGCAAGCUCUGAACUGAAGCCCCAGUAAACGGCGGCCGUAACUAUAACGGUCCUAAGGUAGCGAAAUUCCUUGUCGGGUAAGUUCCGACCUGCACGAAUGGCGUAACGACUUCCCCGCUGUCUCCAACAUAGACUCAGUGAAAUUGAAUUCCCCGUGAAGAUGCGGGGUUCCUGCGGUCAGACGGAAAGACCCCGUGCACCUUUACUAUAGCUUUACACUGGCAUUCGCCAAGGCAUGUGUAGGAUAGGUGGUAGGCUUUGAAGCAUGGACGCCAGUUCGUGUGGAGCCAUCCUUGAAAUACCACCCUUAUCUUCGUGGAUGUCUAACCGCGGUCCGUUAUCCGGAUCCGGGACAGUGUAUGGUGGGUAGUUUGACUGGGGCGGUCGCCUCCGAAAGAGUAACGGAGGCGCGCGAUGGUGGGCUCAGACCGGUCGGAAAUCGGUCGUCGAGUGCAAUGGCAUAAGCCCGCCUGACUGCGAGACUGACAAGUCGAGCAGAGACGAAAGUCGGUCAUAGUGAUCCGGUGGUCCCGUGUGGAAGGGCCAUCGCUCAACGGAUAAAAGGUACGCCGGGGAUAACAGGCUGAUGACCCCCAAGAGUCCAUAUCGACGGGGUUGUUUGGCACCUCGAUGUCGAC
rnacentral:rRNA from 1 species